CACAGAGGGGGCAAGCGUUGUUCGGAAUUACUGGGCGUAAAGGGCGCGUAGGUGGCCUUCUAAGUUGAACGUGAAAUCCCUGGGCUCAACCCAGGAACUGCGUCCAAGACUGGGAGGCUUGAAUCCGGGAGAGGGAUGCGGAAUUCCAGGUGUAGCGGUGAAAUGCGUAGAUAUCUGGAGGAACACCGGUGGCGAAGGCGGCAUCCUGGACCGGUAUUGACACUGAGGCGCGAAAGCCAGGGGAGCAAACGGG
rnacentral:rRNA from 1 species